rnacentral:rRNA from 1 species
GUCGCUACCACCGAUUGAAUGGCUCAGUGAGGCCUUCGGACUGGCUCGGGGAGGUUGGCAACGCCCACCCCGAGCCGGAAAGUUCGUCAAACUCGGUCAUUUAGAGGAAGUAAAAGUCGUAACAAGGUUUCC